AAGUUUAAAUCUGGGGAAAUCAAACAUGCAACAAUUAGUGAACACUGACGACUAAAGGUUGUCCAUCAAAUGUCCAUCAAAGAUUGAUAAAUCAUAAAACAUUAUACAGCACAACACAACAUACUAAUAAUCUAAUUAAUAGACUUCUAUAUUUAUACAAUAUAUAAUCCCUCUAUAUCCCUUUCAGUAGGUCUACGAUACAAAAUCCCUCUUUGUAAUUGUUAAAUGUUCUUGUUCCAAGAACAGUAGAAAACAGUAAUGAGGUACAGCAGAAAUACAGUAAUGAGGUACAGUAGAAAUACAGAAAUGAGGUACAGUAGAAAUACAGUAAUGAGGUACAGUAGAAAUACAGUAAUGAGGUACAGUAGAAAUACAGUAAUGAGGUACAGUAAAAAUACAAUUGUGACGUAGAGUAAAUUUCAACAUUACUCACUGUGUUAAUCAUGUGGUGUUUAACACUAGAGGGAGAACAAACACCAGGGAGGGAGGGUAGAGAGAGGGUAGAGGGAGAACACACACCAGGGAGGGAGGGUAGAGAGAGGGUAGAGGGAGAACACACACCAGGGAGGGAGGGAGGGAGGGAGAGAACAAACACCAGGGAGGGAGGGGUAGAAGAGAACAAACACCAGGGAGGGAGGGUACAGAGAGAACAAACACCAGGGAGGGAGGGGAGAGAGAGGGUAGAGGGAGAACACAGACCAGGGAGGGAGGGUAGAGAGAGGGUAGAGGGAGAACACACACCAGGGAGGGAGGGGAGAGAGGAUAGAGGGAGAACACAGACCAGGGAGGGAGGGUAGAGAGAGGGUAGAGGGAGAACACAGACCAGGGAGGGAGGGUAGAGAGAGGGUAGAGGGAGAACACAGACCAGGGAGGGAGGGUAGAGAGAGGGUAGAGGGAACACAGACCAGGGGUAGGGAGGGUAGAGGGAGAACACAGACCAGGGAG
ensembl:lncRNA